AGCAGCCGCGGUAAUUCCAGCUCCAAUAGCGUAUAUUAAAGUUGUUGCAGUUAAAAAGCUCGUAGUUGAAUUUCGGGGUUAGUAGAUUGGUCAUGCCUCUGGUAUGUACUGGUCUUACUGAUUCCUCCUUCCUGAUGAUCCGUAAUGCCAUUAAUUUGGUGUUUCGGGGAAUUUGGACUGUUACUUUGAAAAAAUUAGAGUGUUUAAAGCAAGCUAACGCUUGAAUACAUUAGCAUGGAAUAAUGAAAUAGGACGUUCGAUCCUAUUUUGUUGGUUUCUAGGAUUGACGUAAUGAUUAAUAGGGAUAGUUGGGGGCAUUAGUAUUCAAUUGUCAGAGGUGAAAUUCUUGGAUUUAUUGAAGACUAACUACUGCGAAAGCAUUUGCCAAGGAUGUUUUCAUUAAUCAAGAACGAAAGUUAGGGGAUCGAAGACGAUCAGAUACCGUCGUAGUCUUAACCAUAAACUAUGCCGACUAGGGAUCGGAUGAUGUUAAUUUUUUAAUGACUCA
rnacentral:rRNA from 1 species